rnacentral:rRNA from 1 species
GACGAACGCUGGCGGCGUGCUUAACACAUGCAAGUCGAACGGAAAGGCCCUGCUUUUGUGGGGUGCUCGAGUGGCGAACGGGUGAGUAACACGUGAGUAACCUGCCCUUGACUUUGGGAUAACUUCAGGAAACUGGGGCUAAUACCGGAUAGGAGCUCCUGCUGCAUGGUGGGGGUUGGAAAGUUUCGGCGGUUGGGGAUGGACUCGCGGCUUAUCAGCUUGUUGGUGGGGUAGUGGCUUACCAAGGCUUUGACGGGUAGCCGGCCUGAGAGGGUGACCGGGCACAUUGGGACUGAGAUACCGGCCAGACUCCUACGGGAGGCAGCAGUGGGGAAUAUUUCACAAUGGGCGGAAGCCUGAUGCAGCAACGCCGCGUGCGGGAUGGCGGCCUUCGGGUUGUAAACCGCCUUCGCCUGUGACGAAGCGUGAGUGACGGUAAUGGGUAAAGAAGCACCGGCUAACUACGUG